AUGUUUGGCAAGUUUGUUAUGUGGGAUAGGGUCAAGAGCACUAGAGCCAACUUGAUGGUUAAGGUUAAGGUUGAGGAGCUCAGAGAUAUUCCAGCUAGUGUUGUCAUUUGGGAAGGGGAUGAUUUCCAGUUUGAAUCUCACACUGUUACAGUGGUUAUUUUGGAACAAAACAUUUUGGGUCUCGAAGCCCCAGACGAAGAUUCAAUUCAUCCAUUUGGUAAUCCACACCCUAUGCCACAACAUGCUCAUUUCCAUCCAAACCAGCAUACUCAUUUUUUGGGACCCAUCCAGCAACAUGAAAAUGGAGAGCCACCAGAUGAGCGAGUGCAAGACCCUCAACUUGAUCUCCAGUUGGGUUUUUCUCAAGACGGUAAUGCUAACAUGGAUUUAGAUGAGGAAGAUGAAUAG
rnacentral:rRNA from 1 species